GCCGGGCGUGGUGGCACAUGCCUGUAGUCUCAGCUACUUGGGAGGCUGAGGUGGGAGGAUCGCUUGAGCCCAGGAGUUCUGGGCUGUAGUGCGCUGUGCUGAUCGGGUGUCCGCACUAAGUUCGGCAUCAAUAUGGUGACCUCCCGGGAGCGGGGGACCACCAGGUUGUCUAAGGAGGGGUGAACCGGCCCAGGUCAGAAACGGAGCAGGUCAAAACUGCUGUGCUGAUCAGUAGUGGGAUCGCACCUGUGAAUACCUGCUGCACUCCAGCCUGGGCAACAUAGUGAGACCCCGUCUCUU
rnacentral:SRP_RNA from 1 species